rnacentral:rRNA from 1 species
UACGUAGGGGGCAAGCGUUGUCCGGAUUUAUUGGGCGUAAAGAGCGUGUAGGCGGCUUUACAGGUCCGUUGUGAAAACUCGAGGCUCAACCUCGAGACGCCGGUGGAAACCGUAAAGCUAGAGUCCGGAAGAGGAGAGUGGAAUUCCUGGUGUAGCGGUGAAAUGCGCAGAUAUCAGGAAGAACACCCGUGGCGAAGGCGGCUCUCUGGGACGGUACUGACGCUGGGACGCGAAAGCGUGGGGAGCGAACAGG